GCCAGGAUAGAGAACUUUCUCUCCCUCCUACUUCUGCUUACUCUUCUGACAACUAUUGGAUCACUCCUUGGAGCUAACACCCCACUAGGUGUCUCUUCCUGCACUUCUGCUUGAUUGUUUCCUUCCUUCCUCCAGCCACAGGAAGAUGGCCAAGUUUGUGUUCCUCAGCCGAUGCAGAGUUCAAGAAUGGAAGCAAAAUUUUGAGACCACUUCUCUUUAGGAACAGAAUUGUUCACAAACAGAAGCAUCCAUGAACCCAGUGGGUCAUAGGGGAUUCCCCUCCCCCACCACACACAAAAAGCUGUGGCUGUGAGAAAAUGGAGAACUCGCUGUACAGUGGAUACCAUGAGGAUCUGGACCUGCUUUUGUGUCUCUUACCCUCAGCUUACACUAAACCCAAUUGAACAAUUCUCUGCACUGCACCUCUGCCAUGCUGCCCUGCCUGGGAGCCAGCAGAAUAUGGACUGAAACCUCCACCAACUGUGAGCCAAAAUAAACCUUUCUUCCUUUAAAUUUUUGGGUGCAAAGUUAAGUUGUUGGUUUGAGAUCUUCAAGUUUAAGGAUCACAUCAGAAUACCACAUUACCCAUAAUUAUAUUAUCUUCAUGGAUUCUUCUGGUCUGUGACAGAUUGACUUUCCUUGUUUUUAAUGAUCUUGAGAGUUCUGAGGAGUAAUGAUCAGGUAUUUUGUAGAAUUUUCCUCUAUUAGCAUUUAUGUGAUGUUUUUCUUAUAAACGAAUAGUGAUUAUAUGGUUUUAGAAGGAAUAUCACAGAGGUAAAGUGGUAUUCUGGUCACAUCAAAGUACACAUGAACAUGACUUAUCACUGUAGAAUGUUGAUCUUGAUCAUUUGGCUUAGGAUUUCUUCUUUGGAAAGGUACUCUUUGUUCCUCCAUUGCCUACUGUACUCAUUUUAAAGAAGUCACUGUCCAGAGUUCAAACUUAAGAAAUGCAGAAUUUAUACUACACUUACACAGCAUCUAUGCUAAUUGUGUGGACUUCAUUUUGUGAUUUUUCAAUAUUUUGAGCUCUAUGUUCUGGAGAUUAAUUCCUUGAUAGAUGAAUAGUUAGCAAAUAUUUUCUCCCACUCUCUAGGUUGUCUUUUAAUUCUGCUGAUUAUUUCUUUUGCAGUGCAGAAAUGUCUUAGUUUGAUGUAGUCACAUUUGUCUACUUUUUUAUUAUUGGUAGUAUGGGGUUCUAUCUAAAAAAAAUCAUUCAUUAUGCCAAUAUUGUGAAGUGUUUCUCCUGUUUUCCAUACAAGUCAGUUAAAUGCUUAGAGUCCAUGGCAAUGCUCUCCACUAGUCCAGCCAGUGGCCUAGAGCCCCUAGGAGUGUCUCAUCCUUCUCCAUAUUGAGGAUCUGCACUUGGAAGGCCCAAAGGCCAGUGGUGGAAGCCAGAAAACCUACACCGGUGAGAUGAAGGAUUUGUGCCACCAAGCUAAGGGAUCCACAUUGGAGCCAGCCUGAGGAAAACAGCAGCCAUUCCCAGCGACAGUAAAGCCCCAAGCUCCUUCUCCAAGGAGAACAGCCUAGUUUGCAUCAGGAAAACCAUCUGCAGAAAGCUUCUCCUAGAAAAUCAACAGGCCACGAUCUUCUUCCUCAAGUUCUCUUUUCAUGGUCAUUGGCAAAAAUCCUCAGGUGGAUCCUCCUUGCCCAGACCAUGCUGAUUCAGUUCAGCUGGGUGAUACAAGUAGACCAUUAGUCAAUCUACCACAGUAACUUUAUCAAAAAACUUAGAAGUGAAACACAUUGAGUCGUCUCUAGAUGUUUCCAUGUAUAGAAUCAUGUCAUCUGCAAACAUGAAUCAUUUACUUUCAUUUCCAACUGGAUGCCCUUUCUUUCUCUUCCCAAGAUUUUCAGUACCAUAUUAAGUAAAGAAUGAUGAAAUCAGGUAUUCUAGUCGUAUUCUCAAUCUUAUAGCAAAUACUUUCAGCUUUUCACUGUUUAGUAUGUUAUUGGCUGUGAAUUUUUCAUAGCCUGUAAUAUUUUGAAAUAUGUUGCUUCUGUACUUAAUUUUUUGUAAAGUUUUAUCAUCAAGCAGUGUUGAAC
rnacentral:lncRNA from 1 species